rnacentral:tRNA from 1 species
GCCAAAGUAAUUUAAAUAAAAUAAUGGCCUUGUAAGUCAUCCUUGGAAAUCCGUGAUUCCCUUUGGCU